GACGAACCGAGCGAACGUUAUUCGGAAUCACUGGGCUUAAAGGGCGCGUAGGCGGGUCAGCAAGUCAGGGGUGAAAUCCCACGGCUCAACCGUGGAAGUGCCUUUGAUACUGUUGAUCUCGAGGGAGGUAGGGGCGUGCGGAACUUCCGGUGGAGCGGUGAAAUGCGUAGAUAUCGGAAGGAACACCGGUGGCGAAAGCGGCGCGCUGGACCGACAUUGACGCUGAACGGCGAAAGCUAGGGGAGCAAACGGG
rnacentral:rRNA from 1 species